GUGACUUUGUAUGAACUCAUGCCAGUCAGCCUCUGACACAUCAGCAGUAUCACAUGUGGUGCAAUAAUCACAGCAGCUGCCCAUGCAAAUACAUGGAUAGCUUCUCCAGUUCUUUGGAUCCUGUAACGCUGUUUUUGUCACCUUAGCACGGGAUAAGAUGUCACACAUUUUCAUGUACAUUUGCUCCGUUUUUUGUCCAGUCACGGUGGGACAAUGCAUCAGAGAUCUGCCGUACCUCCUAGAGACUAAGGACUGGAAAGGACUGACUACAGAGCCUAAGUCCCCCAGGUUCAAGCCGUCGUGUAGAACAUAGAGUCCAGAAGCAUCCACAGAACUUCUGCUCUAGGUGACACCAAAGCCACGGAACAUUUCCCAAUGGAGAAACCGCAGUAAAUGAUAAAUUCCACAGUAAUAAUAAGACCCAGGAAGCGAAAAGAAAAUAUUGGGGCACUGCCAGUUAUCCCAAGUUCUGCAGGAACAAACUAUUCAUUGAGGAGAACUCCUAGGAAGCACUAGAUAGGAGGACAAAUAAACAACUAUUAAAAAAAAAAAAAAAAGUUAUUUCUAAACCUGUUUUUCCAGACUCCAGAUCUGGCCAUCUAUUUAUCGCUGAGUGCUGAGCAGCCCGUGCCCUGGGCUCGCUGCCACCACUGGGACCCCUCCAGAGGCCGGUGGCUACCAUGGAUGGAUCAGCGGGACUUUGUAAGAAGCUGGUGCUUCCCCCCUCCCCGUGCAUCAGAGGGGCUGACUGAGCUUCCCCCGUUACUUUUGUACCAAGAUACGAUUUACAAAUCCAGGCUAACUCACCAGCAGGAUCCUGAGCACGACCUCCUCACAGCCUGCUGGAACCGGGCUCUGCAGGGAGGGGGAACAGUCAUGUCCCUGCCUCCAGGACUUAGGGUGAAGGCGGCAGGAACACACCGGCAGCGGUUCCCACCUCCUCAUCGGUAAGGGCUUCCCUCCCCGGCAGCGUGGUGUGUGAUAUUGUUGGCAAUUCCGAGUUUUACCUGAAACAUGGGACUUCCUGUACUAUUUUAAAGUGUUGCACCAUCAACUCUUUUUCCUCUCGUAAAUGGCGUCAAGCAUCAGGGUUUUCUUUCUAGCAAGUCAGUUGAAGUGGGAGAUGCUUAAAGACCUGCACAGUCUUCGCCCCAAUCUCAGCACCUAUUUACAAGCAGAGGCACCCGGAGGUCUGCAGCUGGGGCGCAGGGCUCGAGGACGCAUCGAGAAGCCCCUCAAGAGAGGAAGAUGUAAAGAGAUGCUCCUGGGACUGACAGCAAAAGCGUGACAGAGGAGAGGCAACUGCCUGCCUUUUCCCAGGCAGGGGCACUGGCUACCAGCCAGCCUCACAGCGGGAUGCCAGAGUAGCCCCUGGUCCUGCUCCCUGCCCCCUCUGGCCAUGAGCAGCUUGCCUUUUGGGGUGUUUUCCAGUGAAUUCUGUUUCCUCCAGAGUUAACCUCCAAAGGGGUUAAUGUGGCCUUUGGGAGCAACCAGGAACAGAAAUGUCCUUUGCUCCCAGGCAUGUGUCCUCCUCACAGCAGGAUCCUCUGGUACUUCUGAGUGUAAGAGCAGAGGUUUGCCCUUGUACCCAAACGUGAUGCCAGGAUGCUCCUACCUCGGGAUCAGUGGUGCUACGUUGGAAUGGUGUGCAGUUAACACUGCCUUGGAGAAGAUUGCCUGAAUCUCCCAUUUUCGACCAUGUCUUUAAAAAAAUGUUACCUUCGGUUUUCUUGUCUUGCUUUUUCCAUAUGUAUUUCAAAUCUGCUACAGUACGACUUAAAGGAAGUUCUCCGGAUUGCAAGGGAAUGUCGUCUCCUGUGCAAACCUGGGCAGGCUCUGCCUCUGCUCACACCCUGGUUGGACAAGUAUGAUAGGACAGGCCCUGCAUGGGUGUUUUGUGGCUUCCUUCAUGUUUAUAAACUACUCUGAGAUCUUCAGAUGAAAAAGGAUUUUUGAGUGCAAAAUAGUAAGUUGCCAAACUGUUUCUAACCUCAUAAACAGAUCAUUUUAAAUUCCAGGAGAUACCGAGGAGGGCAAGAUCACACAAGCAGUCUGGGAACGGUUUCCAUCACCCGUCCUGGGAGCUCAAAAUGCAGAAUUCCCUCCAUUGCUGUAAACCCAGCUAGCGUUUUAUCACAAAUUGAGAAGAGCCUUUCUGAAUUUAUUUUCUAAGUUUUAAAAAUGGAAAACUCAUUUGUUUUUAGCUGGCAUCCUCCUUCUUUGGUUUCUCUGUUUGUGCUGCGUUCACUCGGCGUUAGAACAAAGCUUCCUGGAAAUAAUAACUGAAAUAUGGGAAUUGCUUCAGCUCAGUUUGUUCCUUUAUGUCGCAUAAACUACGACAAACAUGUUUGCUGGGGGGCCGUUCACCGAAACAGCUGAUUGUGCAAACUGAGCUGAGAUCCCGCGUCUUCAUUCCUCCUCCCACCUACAGUCUCACAGGCGGAAAGCCAAAAUGGGCCUGUGAGCCUCCCGGGGCAGAGCCAGCCCCCGCCAGCCACUUCCCGCUCUACUUAGCAAACGGUGAACGUGUUGGUGAAGUUUAUGAGUUAUUUACGGCCCAUUUUGCAAACAGAGUGGGGCUGAUUGAUAAUUAACCGCAGGCAGCAGUUGGGUGCAUGGGCUGGACCAGCCAUGAGCUGCUUGCCUGGCCACCCCGGGCUUCCCUGUCUUGGGGAGCGCUUGACUUCAGCCCCCCAAUUCCUUCAGGGAUGCGCAUCCCCUCCUUAAGCUGAUGCUUUAUGAGUUUUUCUCCCUGCAACGGCAGAAGCUCCCCCCAGCCCUGCGGAGAGCAAAUAACCAGGCAGAGCGUUUCCCCGCAGAGCGUUUCGGAGGCUCCUUCCAGCACGUAGAAGAGACCUUUCGCAAUCAGCGUGAGCCCAAGGUGCCCGUGGGGAGGCACCUGCCCGUGGGUGCUCCUCACCGGGGCCGAAAGCAGAGGAUGGGGAACCUCCACACAAACCACGGUGCUCCACGGGUGGGCGACGGGCAGCAGAGCUCCCUUCCAGAAACAGGCUGUUCUCCCUGCGACGGAGGCUGCGCUAGUUAAUAUUUUAACAGAAGGCAACAUAAUUACAGCUUAAUCUCAUUAAUGAAUCCUGAGAAGAGCCACUGGAAUAUUUCCCGUUCAAUACUUGUACUGCAGUUGGUAUUGGGCGCUCGGCAUGGAGCAAUGAGUUGGCAAACCCAAACGGGCCACCCGUGGCAAGGGACGCUGUGCACAUGCGGACGCCGCGGCCGAACGGAGGAAAAUGCAAAAUAAACAGUGUGGACAACCAUCUGCCACUUCCGAAGCAGCAGCCAACGCUAACACCCCAUUAGGACACGGACCAAAAGCACAAAUCUGGUGGUUUGGCCACCGGCAAUUUUAAUUUUUUGACAGAAAAGGCUUCUGGCAUUUGUUAAACAAAAAAAAAAAAAAAAAAAAAGAAAAAGGAAGAAGGCCAAAGGGUUUGAGGACUUGUUUAAAUAAUAGAAAGGCUGCUGCCGCCCGUUUUGUUUAUGUCAUCAAAAAAGGUUACAGCUUUGAGCGUACUCAUGCGCAACCACAGCGCUGACUUCAAAAUGCAGCAGAGCUGCGGUGCUGCUGGUUUGCUCGCCUUGCCGGUGCGGAGGCUCUCCCGGGGUGACUGCACCCCAGCAGGCUGGGUGCUCACCCCCCUGCUUCUGAACCAGGGCUGCUCACCUCGGAACUGGCUGGUUAUUUUUUAUUUUUAAUAUAGAUAAAGGAGAGGGCAAGAAUCGUAACAUUUCCCCUUCCUAAAACGUGUGAUGUGCUACAGCCUACUCUGAUGUCUCUGAAAUGUGACUGGGAAUCCGAUAAAGCACAAACCAGGGGUGAGUGUCACCCGUCCUGGCUGUAACCGAAGCACAUCCUCCUGGGCUGAGACCUCCUCCAGAUACCGGGACUAAUUAACUGAUUUUUAAAAACAUUUUACUAUGUUCUAUAACAUUAAACCCAAAGGUGAUUCUGUUACAAUUCUAUAAAUCACAAAUCUUAUGAAAGACUUGUUUUUCGGUUUACUGAGCUAUCCUCCGUUCUCCCAGUUCCAAUCUCCAGCCAGUGAGCAACUCCAAGAAAAUGCAUUCAUGCCAUCCAUCUAACGUUUUACCUGUAUUUCUAAAUAAAUCCAAGCUGGAUUAUAUACGUAGAAUAAGCGUGUGUGGAACAGCUCAGUGACAUAGCCAGCCCAGUUUCCACAAGACUGUGAUUUAUCAGGAGAUAAUUCAUUAACAGAAAAGCAUCAUUUUUGCUGGCAUGAGCCCAGCUUUGCCAGGUCCGGCCAGGUUUUGCCUGCUGCAGUCCUGCGACGGCGAGGAAGCCGGGCCAGGGAGAGGGGCAGAAGGUUUCCCUGUACUGUCGUUACAAGAGAAGCAUGUGGAUGUGUAAAUUCCUGAUCUAGACAUGUUGGUAUUGUCAAAUAAUUCCUGUUUAACCGCUUCUAACUCACUGCAUUUCCCCAUCAAAUACUGGCUAGGUCAUUUGAAUAUCUUUUCUCACAUCUCCCUGUCUUAUUCAUGCUGAAACCCAAACUAGUCUCCCUUGCCAGAAUCUCAAAAAAUGAGUACAACGAGUGAGCGUAUGAGUUGAAAUACUGUCACACGAGUUUUCUUGACGUUUAAAAAGAUGUUAUUUCAUUGCUGCUCCAGAAAAAGACUUGCAUGAUGUUUGCUGCAGGGACUGGCUGGUGGGGAGGAGAGCUGGCGUGGGGUGGGGCUCUACGGGACCUGGGGUGCCCUUCAGACCUCCCCAAAAAUGCACCUCAUCUUAUCCGAGGUUGUGCGUAAAAGAGCUCUGCGGUGAAAGCACUACAGGUCCUUUUUCAGUUGCACCCCCGCUACUUCAAAGUCCUGCUGUGGCCUUCAGCUGAACUACUCCAGGCUUACACUCUGGGGAGGAUCCAGCCCCUUCCACUCACCAAACCGCAUCGGUGGGUCACGUCGGACUGCGGCAGCUGAGCCCAGGAGAAAACGCCGCGAUGGUUUGCACGGCUCCGUCACUUCUGACCGGGAAAGAAGAGCUCAGCAAAGCCUACGGCAACACCUCAGCGCCGGAGCGUGAGCGGCCGCGGGCUCCCCGGGGUUCUCAGCAUUACUUUCAUCCUUCUUAUUGCAAUUAUUGCUGGUGGUGUAUCACAGAAGGUUGCUGGAAGGACUCCGCUGUUAGAGCGGGGGGUUCUAGUAGCUUCAUUAAUAGAAGUGCUAAUUUGCAGGAGUGAUUUGUAUGACUGACAGUUCAGGCGAUAAAGUUUCCUUUGUUUCAGCGUGGGGCUCGACGGGUUCAUGACGGGAUGGGGCUUCUGGCUCUGGUGACCGGGCAGGUCCCAGCGGUGCCGUCUCCCAAAGCCCACGAGGACGGCGAUGCUGCGGUCCCGUGCUGGGCACCGCCGCCGCGCCUCGGAGAGAGCAGCCCCAGCUCGGGGCACGCCUGCCCUCCCGCUCGGAGGGAACGGACGUUAACCACUGCUGCUUCUUACGGAGUUUAGAAGAAAGAAAAUUCAGCUUAAAAAGCUGGAGGAAUAUCACUGACUGCAUUCUACAUCUGUUACAUCUCAGAAUAAUUUAUUUUAACCUCUGAAGAUACAAGGGAAACUAUUUGAAGGCGGUGGAGACUUGCCAGUAUUUUCAGUUCAUUAUAAGCAAAGAACUGUUGCUUAUAGCACUUUUUUGGAGCAGAGAGUAGUCUGGUUUUAAAUCCCUCAAGCAAUGAGGAAUCAUGCACUCGCCAAUGGAAUUGCUCUUCGGUAAAGAGUACACUAAUUAAAAAAGUUUAAUUUUUAAAUCCAGUCUAAAUUUCCUCCCUUCACAAAAGCGUUCUGCCUGCUUCCCACGGGCAUUGCUGGGCCCCUGCUAACCCCAGCUGGGGUCUCAGCCCGCCGGCUCACGCAGCGGGGCCGGCUCCCCGCCCGAGCAGAACCCUGGGCUGGGCUCAACACACUCUAAAUGUUGUCGUCGAGGGGGAGAGGUGAGGCCAAGGAGUAGCGACAGCCCGGUGAUGGAGCUGCAUUUCGGCCACGCUGGGACCCAGCAGACCACGCACCACCCACUCCCCGGGCACUGGUGGGUGCGUGCUCCACGCGAGAGGUGCAGCCCUGGCUUCGCCAACAGCGAAGCGCCAAUUAGCUAAAAAUUGCAAUUUCCCAGCUGCAGACUCUGCUCGUUCGGUCGCGCCUUGCGCAGGGCCAUGAGCACAGCCCCGCGGAGCCCUGCGCGCAAAAAGGCGGUUUCUCCCCGCUCUGUUUCUCCCCGUUCUGCCCCGUUCUGGCAUCUGAGAAGGGAGUAAAGGAUCUGCGGGACAGAGGGACUUGCUCAAGCAAGAUCAUCUCCAGCUGGGCUGUGUGAGAAGAUGUGAGCAGGCUCGAUGAUGAGCGGCCAGCGAACUGAAUGCAGAAGACCCAGAGACCUAAAUAGUGAAGCAGCUUUGCUUGCAGAUGACACUGCGAAGCAGAUAUGUAUGAGUGUUACCAAGAUUAAAGUUUAAUUAAAUUCCUGCAA